ACUCAAAUAGUUUAAUAAAAAAUAUUAGUUUGUGGCACUUAAGAUGUAAAAUUUACUUUGAGUA
rnacentral:tRNA from 3 species